AUAUAGCAGGCUUUCACGGCUGUAUCUUAACUGCACUAUUACAACCCUUCCCUAUUCCGAAAUCAUGAAUGAAUUACAAACUAGCUAGCUAGCUAUAUAUUUUGAAUCAAGCUACAAUAGGCUAUUCAAUCGGUUCAUUUUCAUGUUUGCCCAAUCAAAAGCUACUGUAACGUAUCAACCAUGGAACAACAAAGUGUACCUCAGGUUACACUCUCGCACUUCAAAACCCAUCACACAUAGUCACACUGUUACUACUGCCACCUUAGCUAGCUACUGCAUCGAUGGAUUCCGGAGAGAGAGAAAUCGGAAAUCGACAUUUUUAUAUAAUAAUGUUGUGCUGGGAACUGGUUCAGACGAUCAGUGGCGUCAACUUAUUGGCAACUACUUGUUGACACUAAGCCGGAGAGCGUCACCAUCAGCGACUCCGCAGACAGCUACUCAAACGAGCUCACCGAAGUCGAGGCCGAGCCCCUUGAGGAGGCAACCGAGGAAGACCCCCGUUAAUGGUGGAUCCGUCAAUUACAGCGCUUCAGUCAGUCAACGGGGAAUAUAUCAGUGAUGCUGGGAAAGAAAUUGAAAAGGCUCACGAGUUCAGGUGCACUUGCAAGACCAACAAAGAAAGCCCUACUAUUUGCUUUUUAUCCAUGAGGAGAUGGUCAAGAAAAGUGACCAGAUGAAUUAACUCACCAAUGAUAAUUUGGCAGUAUGUCCAACCGGCCUCACGACCUCAGACCAUCCCAGGACCUCACGACCUCAGACCAGCCCAGGACCUCCUCAUCCGGCUUCUUCACCUGCGGGAUCGUCUGGGGGUGUGUGGGGGAAUUUCCACAAAAAGUUGACUGCAGUGAUAAAGUUCGACAAGGAACAUGGUGUGGCUCCAAGGAAGAAGAGGUAUCGGGGUCGUCUCGCCAGCAAACGGGUGCUGUCCUACGAGGACAUUCAGCGAAUCAUCCACUAUCUCAAAACUAUGUCCACAUGAUGUCCAUGUACAUGUGCGCGAACGCACAUGCGCAUAUGUGUGAAAACAAGUGAAUGUAGCCAAUACAUUUUGUUGCGUGUAUGUCUACAAUCAUAUGUGCAAGCGUUUGCACGUAUACACAUGCACACAUAUACUGUACAUAUGCACGUAUACAUGUGCACGUGUAUGCAUAUACAUGCAUGUGGGUGCGCAACAACGAUGCAAACAGACACUGUCUGUAUAGUUAGAGCAAGAUGUAAUUAUAUGUAGCCUCUAUGUGUGUGUGUGUGAGAGAGAGAGAGAGAGAAUUAGUGUGUAAGUGAGAUUGACUGAGUGAGAAAAAGAAGAACAUGGGCACUCAUGUCAAGGGAUUUCAUGUAUUGUGUUUGGUAUUAAGUAAAUAGUUCUUAUUAAUUAUUUGAGUAAAUGUCUUAAAAGUAAAUGCAAACUUUGACUGUGUUUUUCUCUAAAACAUUUGGUGCCAAAUCAGCAGGUAAUGGCGCGUAACUCACUUGAUAUUUGGACUAGAUAGAUUAUAUUGGUCUCAUUAGAGAGCUAGCAUUCUCCUCUUUCCAGCACAGUAUAAAACUGUGUUUCGGGGACAAAGUGACUGAUUAUGAUAGAGCAAGUCACAUAUACAGUGCAUUUGGAAAGUAUUCAGACCCCUUAACUUUUUCCACAUUUUGAUGCGUUAAAGCCUUAUUCUAAAAUGUAUUCAAUUGUUUUUAUCCCUCAUCAAUCUACACACAAUACUCCACAAUGACAAGGCAAAAACUGUUUUUUUAAUAGAAAUGUUAGAAAAUAUAUUAAAAAUAAAAACUUAAAUAUUAUAUUUACAUAAGUAUUCAGAUCCUUUACUCAGUACUUAGUUGAAGCAUAUUUGGCAGCGAUUACAGCCUCAAGUCUUCUUGGGUAUUUUUUAUUUUUUAUUUCACCUUUAUUUAACCAGGUAGGAUAGUUGAGAACAAGUUCCCAUUUGCAACUGCGACCUGGCCAAGAUAAAGCAUAGCAAUUCGACACAUACAACACCACAGAGUUACACAUGGAAUAAA